rnacentral:rRNA from 1 species
CAUGCAAGUCGAGCGGAUGACGGGAGCUUGCUCCUUGAUUCAGCGGCGGACGGGUGAGUAAUGCCUAGGAAUCUGCCUGGUUUUGGGGGACAACGUUUCGAAAGGAACGCUAAUACCGCAUACGUCCUACGGGAGAAAGCAGGGGACCUUCGGGCCUUGCGCUAUCAGAUGAGCCUAGGUCGGAUUAGCUAGUUGGUGGGGUAAUGGCUCACCAAGGCGACGAUCCGUAACUGGUCUGAGAGGAUGAUCAGUCACACUGGAACUGAGACACGGUCCAGACUCCUACGGGAGGCAGCAGUGGGGAAUAUUGGACAAUGGGCGAAAGCCUGAUCCAGCCAUGCCGCGUGUGUGAAGAAGGUCUUCGGAUUGUAAAGCACUUUAAGUUGGGAGGAA